rnacentral:rRNA from 1 species
GGUAAUACGGAGGAUGCAAGUGUUAUCCGGAAUCACUGGGCGUAAAGCGUCUGUAGGUGGUCCAAUAAGUCAACUGUUAAAUCUUGAGGCUCAACCUCAAAAUCGCAGUCGAAACUAUUAGACUAGAGUAUAGUAGGGGUAAAGGGAAUUUCCAGUGGAGCGGUGAAAUGCGUAGAGAUUGGAAAGAACACCGAUGGCGAAGGCACUUUACUGGGCUAUUACUAACACUCAGAGACGAAAGCUAGGGUAGCAAAUGGGAUUAGAUACCCCAGUAGUCCUAGCCGUAAACAAUGGAUACUAGAUGUUGAACAGAUCGACCUGUGCAGUAUCAAAGCUAACGCGUUAAGUAUCCCGCCUGGGAAGUAUGCUCGCAAGAGUGAAACUCAAAGG